rnacentral:rRNA from 1 species
GAUCCUGGCUCAGGAUGAACGCUGGCGGCGUGCCUAAUACAUGCAAGUCGAACGCUUCACAUAUGUGAAGAGUGGCGAACAGGUGAGUAAUACAUAAGUAACCUGGCCUUUACAGGGGGAUAACUAUUGGAAACGAUAGCUAAGACCGCAUAGGUGUCAUAACCACAUGGAGAUGAUAUGAAAUAUGCUACGGCAUAGGUAGAGGAUGGACUUAUGGCGCAUUAG